rnacentral:rRNA from 1 species
GUUUUGCGUCCCCUGCCCUUUGUACACACCGCCCGUCGCUACUACCGAUUGAAUGGCUCAGUGAGGCGUCCGGACUGGCCCAGAGAGGCGGGCAACUGCCACUCAGGGCCGGAAAGCUCUCCAAACUCGGUCAUUUAGAGGAAGUAAAAGUCGUAACAAGGUCUCCGUUGGUGAACCAGCGGAGGGAUCAUUA